rnacentral:rRNA from 1 species
AGAGUUUGAUCCUGGCUCAGGAUGAACGCUAGCGACAGGCUUAACACAUGCAAGUCGAGGGGCAGCACAGGUAGCAAUACCGGGUGGCGACCGGCGCACGGGUGAGUAACGCGUAUGCAACUUACCUAUCAGAGGGGGAUAACCCGGCGAAAGUCGGACUAAUACCGCAUGAAGCAGGGAUCCCGCAUGGGGAUAUUUGCUAAAGAUUCAUCGCUGAUAGAUAGGCAUGCGUUCCAUUAGGCAGUUGGCGGGGUAACGGCCCACCAAACCGACGAUGGAUAGGGGUUCUGAGAGGAAGGUCCCCCACAUUGGUACUGAGACACGGACCAAACUCCUACGGGAGGCAGCAGUGAGGAAUAUUGGUCAAUGGCCGAGAGGCUGAACCAGCCAAGUCGCGUGAGGGAUGAAGGUUCUAUGGAUCGUAAACCUCUUUUAUAAGGGAAUAAAGUGCGGGACGUGUCCCGUUUUGUAUGUACCUUAUGAAUAAGGAUCGGCUAACUCCGUGCCAGCAGCCGCGGUAAUACGGAGGAUCCGAGCGUUAUCCGGAUUUAUUGGGUUUAAAGGGUGCGUAGGCGGCCUUUUAAGUCAGCGGUGAAAGUCUGUGGCUCAACCAUAGAAUUGCCGUUGAAACUGGGGGGCUUGAGUAUGUUUGAGGCAGGCGGAAUGCGUGGUGUAGCGGUGAAAUGCAUAGAUAUCACGCAGAACCCCGAUUGCGAAGGCAGCCUGCCAAGCCAUUACUGACGCUGAUGCACGAAAGCGUGGGGAUCAAACAGGAUUAGAUACCCUGGUAGUCCACGCAGUAAACGAUGACCACUAGCUGUUUGCGAUACACUGUAAGCGGCACAGCGAAAGCGUUAAGUGAUCCACCUGGGGAGUACGCCGGCAACGGUGAAACUCAAAGGAAUUGACGGGGGCCC